UACGGAGGGUGCGAGCGUUGUCCGGAAUCACUGGGCGUAAAGGGCGCGUAGGCGGCGCGGGCAGUCAACGGUGAAAGCUUGGGGCUCAACCCCGAGUCGGCCGUCGAUACUCCCGUGCUUGAGCACUGUAGAGGCAGGUGGAAUUCCGGGUGUAGCGGUGGAAUGCGUAGAGAUCCGGAAGAACACCGGUGGCGAAGGCGGCCCGCUGGGCAGUAGCUGACGCUGAGGCGCGACAGCGUGGGGAGCAAACAGG
rnacentral:rRNA from 1 species